rnacentral:lncRNA from 1 species
ACUAACAUAUAGAUCAAAAUUUUGAGCUGAACUUAAAAUUGAAAACAGAAAACACUUUCCUCAAAACAUUUGUAACACCAAAAACAAAUAACCAAAGUAAAUGAAGUUAAAAUACUUAUACUAAAAACCAAAACUGAAAAUGGAAAUGGAUCUCGCCCAAGAAUUCGUAACUUCACGUACUCCGAGAAAAGAUGUGUCUUUGGGUCAAGUCCCAAGAAUAAUGAAUCUGUAACAAUUGCCGUAGACGGAUCUUCAUGCCCACUUGCUUAACGAAUCCAACAAAUAAGUUAUCGAUACAACGGUCUGCAGCCCGUGAUAUCGAUCACACAUUUGUUGUCUCGAUAAGCAAGCAGUAAUUUCCUGAAGGUGCACAAUCACACGUUCGAAAUUCGAUCCUCCGAAUACAAGCUCGCACAACUCCUCUAUCAACCAAUGUUGCAUGUAGCAACUCUCGUACCAUGCCACAACAAGUGCC